AGCUCUCCGGGGGAAGGGUCAGGCAGAGUGGAACCUCCUGUUCAGGGCUGGCAAGGUCCAGACUGGAGCUGUCACACAACCCCAUGAGAGCACCUCAGAGAAUGUGCGGCAGGCAGCAGGACCCCCUCCUUCUCUGUUCUUCAGAUGCUACAAAUACAAGAUCGCAGACUCCAGGGUUUGCAGGGCACGCUAAGCCCCUACUUUGCUUCAUAGGGCCUCAAAGGGGGUUGCUUCCCUUCCUCAGUUUCCCCAAGUGUGAGACUCUAGACCAACCUGUUCAUAGCCUUUUCAAUGGUCUGCAUUCAACGGAGACCAUAAUAAGUGGUUUCUCUCUGCUGACCCCAGCAAGGAAUCAGUAACACUUGAGGCUGGGGUAGGGGGUGAGAAGUGGGCCUCCCCACUUGCCUGUGAAAUGACAGUUAGCAAGGCCAUUCACAUCCAUGGGGACCUGAGGGAAGACCACCGGGACGAGAUCAUGCAACCCAACCAGAGAGGGGGGUGUUCUAAAGGCUCUUGGCAAGGUGCCAGAUGAGGCUGUAUCUCUUCCCACUGACACUUGUCCAUGGGGGCUCACUUACAGGGCUGACCACACCCUACAUCGUAAAAUGAUGCGAGCUGCCUCUCCACCACAGACUUUAAUUAAGAGAAGGAAACAGAUCCUCACAGAGUAUCUCUGUGUCCCCCUCAGCACCACGUCCACCUUCCACAGGAGGAAGUCAGAGGCCUGAUUUAACCGACAUCCAAAUGUAAAGAUAGACACCGUUAUGGAUUUGAUCUAAUGCUUUAUUAUGUUCAUUGGGCCUCCCCCGCCCCUGCAAUUGCAUGAGAAUUUGCAUGUAAGAUUCAGGCGGUCUCUGCCCCCAGUUGGUUUUGAUUGGUAAAUAAAGUUACCAGCAGCCAAUGGCUGGGUAGGGAGACAGAGGCAGGACUUUAGGAUUCCUGGGCAAGGGUACCAAAGGAGGAAGAAAAGGCAGAGCCACCAUGCCAGAAAGGGAGUAAAGACCAGGCCUGAGAGGUGCAGAAGAGAGAACAUAGCCCACAUAUAAGAGUCAGGGGAAGAGCGGCCCCAGGGGGCUCCCCCAUCCCCAUUGGAUCUAGGGCAGCAAAACUGGAAUAUAGAUUUUAGUAAGUAAUAACUCAGGAAUAUCAGAGGGGAGGUAUUAGCCACGUGGAGGUCUUGGAGUGGCCCUGCCAUUGAACUGUUUAAGGCAUAUUAAAAUAUAAGACUGCU
rnacentral:lncRNA from 1 species